UACGUAGGGCGCGAGCGUUGUCCGGAAUUAUUGGGCGUAAAGGGCUCGUAGGCGGCCAACUAAGUCAGACGUGAAAUCCCUCGGCUCAACCGGGGAACUGCGUCUGAUACUGGAUGGCUUGAAUCCGGGAGAGGGAUGUGGAAUUCCAGGUGUAGCGGUGAAAUGCGUAGAUAUCUGGAGGAACACCGGUGGCGAAGGCGGCAUCCUGGACCGGUAUUGACGCUGAGGAGCGAAAGCCAGGGGAGCAAACGGG
rnacentral:rRNA from 1 species